GGCUUCCGGAGCUAACGCGUUAAGUCGACCGCCUGGGGAGUACGGCCGCAAGGUUAAAACUCAAAUGAAUUGACGGGGGCCCGCACAAGCGGUGGAGCAUGUGGUUUAAUUCGAUGCAACGCGAAGAACCUUACCUGGUCUUGACAUCCACAGAACUUUCCAGAGAUGGAUUGGUGCCUUCGGGAACUGUGAGACAGGUGCUGCAUGGCUGUCGUCAGCUCGUGUUGUGAAAUGUUGGGUUAAGUCCCGCAACGAGCGCAACCCUUAUCCUUUGUUGCCAGCGGUCCGGCCGGGAACUCAAAGGAGACUGCCAGUGAUAAACUGGAGGAAGGUGGGGAUGACGUCAAGUCAUCAUGGCCCUUACGACCAGGGCUACACACGUGCUACAAUGGCGCAUACAAAGAGAAGCGACCUCGCGAGAGCAAGCGGACCUCAUAAAGUGCGUCGUAGUCCGGAUUGGAGUCUGCAACUCGACUCCAUGAAGUCGGAAUCGCUAGUAAUCGUGGAUCAGAAUGCCACGGUGAAUACGUUCCCGGGCCUUGUACACACCGCCCGUCACACCAUGGGAGUGGGUUGCAAAAGAAGUAGGUAGCUUAACCUUCGGGAGGGCGCUUACCACUUUGUGAUUCAUGACUGGGGUGAAGUCGUAACAAGGUAACCGUAGGGGAACCUGCGGUUG
rnacentral:rRNA from 1 species